rnacentral:rRNA from 1 species
CCUACGGGUCGCACCAGUGGGGAAUUUUGGACAAUGGGCGCAAGCCUGAUCCAGCAAUGCCGCGUGCAGGAUGAAGGCCUUCGGGUUGUAAACUGCUUUUGUACGGAACGAAAAGCCCUGGGUUAAUACCCUGGGGUCAUGACGGUACCGUAAGAAUAAGCACCGGCUAACUACGUGCCAGCAGCCGCGGUAAUACGUAGGGUGCGAGCGUUAAUCGGAAUUACUGGGCGCAAAGCGUGCGCAGGCGGUUUUGUAAGACAGAGGUGAAAUCCCCGGGCUCAACCUGGGAACUGCCUUUGUGACUGCAAGGCUAGAGUACGGCAGAGGGGGAUGAAAUUCCGCGUGUAGCAGUGAAGUGCGUAGAUAUGCGGAGGAACACCGAUGGCGAAGGCAAUCCCCUGGGCCUGUGCUGACUCUCAUGCACGAAAGCGUGGGGAGCAAACAGGAUUAGAUACCCGUGUAGUC